CCCUUAGAUGUCCGGGGCCGCACGCGCGCUACACUGAAGGAAUCAGCGUGGCUUUCUCCCUGACCCGAAAGGGUUGGGAAACCCGUUGAAUCUCCUUCGUGAUAGGGAUUGGGGCUUGAAAUUGUUCCCCAUGAACGAGGAAUUCCCAGUAAGCGCGAGCCAUAAGCUCGCGUUGAUUACGUCCCUGCCCUUUGUACACACCGCCCGUCGCUACUACCGAUUGAAUGAUUUAGUGAGUACCAGGGACCGAGCGCUUUGGUUGGGUUUCCUUCCCUAGCGCUUGGGAACUGUCGCAAACUUGACCAUUUAGAGGAAGUAAAAGUCGUAACA
rnacentral:rRNA from 1 species